GGACGUUUGGAGACCGUUUUGAGAGGCAAAGACAUUUCAGAGUAUAGAUUUGCUCGAUUUGAGAUCCAAGUGCGUUUGAUCACGGAGGUCGUUGAAUUCGUGUGCGAUCGAGUAUCGGAGACUACGAGAUGGCGAGGACACAUACUACAGGGCAGGAUGGACAUCCACCAGUAUCACCAGUCAGGGCCGUGAGAGGCCGAGGUCGCAGUAGAGGCCGUGGUAGGGGCAGAGGUGCAGCUCGCACCGUAGCUAAGGCAGCACCUGCAGAUCCACUAGUUGCCCCAUUUCAGGAGUAGGCUCCAGUUAUGGAUGAGUCAGUGGGACCAGCUCAUGAACCACCUGUGCCUAUUGUGAUUCCAGGCCUUCAGGAGGCCUUAGCUCAGAUUCUGACCACGUGUACAAGUCUUGCUCAGGCGGCCUCUGUUCCGGUAGCAGCAGCCACUUCUCAAGCAGGGGGAGGUGCUCAGACUCCCGCCGCCCGCACACCAGAGCA